UACGAAGGGGGCUAGCGUUGCUCGGAAUCACUGGGCGUAAAGCGCACGUAGGCGGCUUUUUAAGUCAGGGGUGAAAUCCUGGAGCUCAACUCCAGAACUGCCUUUGAUACUGAAGAUCUUGAGUUCGGGAGAGGUGAGUGGAACUGCGAGUGUAGCGGUGAAAUGCGCAGAUAUCGGGAGGAACACCAAUGGCGAAGGCAGCUCGCUGGGACGUUACUGACGCUGAGACGCGAAAGCGUGGGGAGCAAACAGG
rnacentral:rRNA from 1 species